rnacentral:ncRNA from 1 species
GCGGUUCCGCAUCCGGCAUUAAAAGGGAAUCCGGUGCAAACCCGGAGCAGUCCCGCUGCUGUAAAUCUCGUGGUGGGCGGUUCAAACACUCACUGCCACUGUCCGCAAGGACGGGAAGGCGAGCCGCCUGAGAUGAGCCAGAAGACCUGCAAA